AUGGUCUUCGAGGAUGAGAGCAGCGACGACCUGUCCAGCCGGGAGAUCUCCUCCUCCGACGAUGGUAUGCAUUAUCAAGUCAGUGCUAGAGCUAGGAUUCCUGCUAGCAUUGAAGACCAAGACUACAAUGGCUUGGAGAACGCACCAGAGGGGCUCUGCGUGGAGCAUCGGCUGCAAACUGAGCGCCGUGUAGCUUUUGAAUCAUUUGAGACGGGCAGGAGGUUUCUAGUUUGUGCUCAGCCUCAAAGUCAGAAUUGUGGUUUUCUUGCGUGGGUUGACCCAGAGUGGCCUCCCACAAUGCAAAAUGCAUUGUUGAAGCUUUGGGAAAUGUUUGAGGACAGUAGGCAUGCUAGGAGGAAGGAUAACCUGGAAAGUUCACUUACUAUCCACCACCUUAAAGAAGAGAGAAGGAAUGUGGUUGCCAACUAUGACAACCUAGUUGAAGAUGUCCAUCAACUUCUCAAUGCACAGGAGGACAGGGUGUUGGAUCUCAACUAUGUGCAAGCUAAGGAGAAGAGAGCUGAGGUUGCCAGUGCAUCAACUAUGGCUGGCAUGAAGAAUGAGAUGGAGAAGAAAGAGGCAGAGAACUUGAAGCUGAAAGAGAAGUAUAAAGUGAUGAUGAACCUGCUAGAAGCUCAAGGCAGUGUCAUUAGGAACCUGAAGAUGAAUCAUUUGAAAGAGAAGGAAAAGCUAACUGAAGGCAACAACAAUUUAAAGAUUUAG
rnacentral:rRNA from 1 species